rnacentral:lncRNA from 1 species
GUUUAAGAGGCUGGGGAUGGGUAAGAAGUCAAGAAGGUUUCGGUUGGAUUUCUCAACAACAGGUCAUUGGCCUGGAGCCCGUCCAGUGGGUAAAAUGCCGUGAUGCAACAGCUUUCAGGAAGGCCUCCAGAAAUGAGCUCUAGGUCAGUGGGUUGGGUUUAGGUGCAGGCACACCCUGGAACUGUCACUCUAGAGUUGUUACUAACCUCCUCUUUCCCCAGAUCUGACUCAGCAGGGUUGGCUGUUCCAGCUCCAAAGAGAAGGAGGAACCUUUUCCUUCCGCAGCCCCUCCCCACCAGCCUCAUUCCUUAGCUGGGGUCAGACCUGGGGUCCUCACUGCAGCUGGCCUCUGGCAGCAUUCUCAGGCUAGCCCUCCCUGCUGAAAAGAGAACCGUGUGGGACUCACAGGCCCCUUCUGCCUUCCACCUUCCUGUUCC